CCUACGUCGGAAUUUCAAAGUUACUAACCGACGAUCAACUUCCGACGCAUAGUUUGCCAAAUUAUUCAAACAUAUCCUAACCGUCACGAAUGGUUACUCCACUGAUAUCGCGACAUAAUCCAUGGGGAUUAAUAACCCACUACGAGAUUAUCGUCCUAUGAUUCUACGCCACCAAAUGCGGGACUAUAUCCGACGGUUACGACCAUCUACUCUAUAAAAAAGAGAUAAGGCAAC
rnacentral:lncRNA from 1 species